rnacentral:misc_RNA from 1 species
GAUGAAGAACGCAGCGAAAUGCGAUAAGUAGUGUGAAUUGCAGAAUUCAGUGAAUCAUCGAAUCUUUGAACGCACAUUGCGCCCCUCGGUAUUCCGUGGGGCAUGCCUGUUCGAGCGUCAUUUACCCCUCAAGCACUGCUUGGUGUUGGGCGUCUGUCCCGCUUCGCGCGCGGACUCGCCCCAAAGGUAUUGGCAGCGGUCGUGCCAGCUUCUCGCGCAGCACAUUGCGCUUCUCGAGGCGGUCGAUCGGCGGCCACGAAGCUCACCUCCACCGUUGACCUCGGAUCAGGUAGGGAUACCCGCUGAACUUAAGCAUAUCAAUAAGCGGAGGA